rnacentral:lncRNA from 1 species
UGGGGAGUGUUGCUUUCUGGCUGCAGAACCAUAGAUGAGCUUGGAGAAGGUGAUGGAAAGGAUUGCAGAGUUGGAAACCGAUAAAUGUGGAGUUUACGCGCAUCUAUCGAAUAUGUACGAUAAUAUUUGGAAGACCAGUGGAUGUGGUCGUCUUCUGGAGGCUGCUGAUGUUACUUAGCAGAACCUCGCAGCUGAACCACGUGAACAUGCAUGGCAACUGCAAUGACAACGAGAGAGCUUCAAGACAAAUUGAAGAAUGUGCUUGGAAUUAGAUACUGCAAGCACACAUGGAUUCCUGGUUCACCAAGCCAGGGGAGCGCUAUCAGCUGGUAGAUUUGUUACCUGAAGGGGCAAGAGUAUCUCCACGAUAUUGAUGGUGGAGACAUGGAAAGCCUCAAUGCAUGAGUCGGGAGUAAAGGUCUGGGCAAGAGAAUUUAAAUAUUCUAUUUUCUGUUGCCUAGUUUUGUUUUCCAUAGUUCCAAGAAAAAACUGAAUGAUUUUGUUUUAAUUCGAUAGAUGGAAUGCCAAAGCAUUUGGAGACAACUAAUAUGAAACGUAAAAAAGGAAAAAA